rfam:Gossypium hirsutum cultivar TM-1 chromosome 10, whole genome shotgun sequence
CCUGGGGGAGCGCUUUGUCCACGUCACCCAAACGAGCCCUCAAGGACCCGUUUUUUGCUGAUGUGGACAAAGCGCUCCCCCAGGG